rnacentral:rRNA from 1 species
AGCGAACGUUAGCGGCGGGCCUAACACAUGCAAGUCGAGCGAGAAAGGGGGUUCGCCCCCGAGUACAGCGGCGGACGGGUGAGUAACACGUAGGUAAUUUUCCCUUGAGCGGGGGACAACGUUCCGAAAGGACGCUAAUACCGCAUAAGUUCUUGGGUGCUUCGGCACUGGAGAGGAAAGCUAGGCCGCAAGGUCUGGCACUCGAGGAGAAGCCUGCGUCGCAUCAGCUAGUUGGUGGGGUAAUGGCCUACCAAGGCAAAGACGCGUAGCUGGUCUGAGAGGAUGAUCAGCCACACUGGGACUGAGACACGGCCCAGACUCCUACGGGAGGCAGCAGUGGGGAAUAUUGGACAAUGGGCGCAAGCCUGAUCCAGCCACGCCGCGUGAGUGAUGAAGGCC